rnacentral:misc_RNA from 1 species
AUGUAACCAAAAACUUCUUUGUAAAGGUUAGGACAACAUUUAUUUUAAACACCUUUCUGAAAGAACCAAUAUUCGAGUCAAUAACGGCGCAACAAACAUUACCGUUCUAUUGCAAUAGCAACACGUUUUGGAGUAACUGGAGAAUCUGAGGGUCACCUAUAUUCGCUUAAUAUAUUCAGACUAAAGGACUUAUUCAAAAUAUACAUAUAAACAACAUGGAUGAAUGAGUGAAAAGAUCGCGUAUGAGAUUUCCAGCUGAGACUUUAAGCAGCAUCUUUUGUUUCCAUUUACAACGGUCAUGAAAAGUUCAAAACUGAAAAGAAAAUUCCUGUAACACCAAACAUUGAAUACUGAAAACUGUCAACCGCUACAAACUGAUACCUGAACACCAGAGGACGAGGAACGCCAACAUUGUGCAUCAAGUAUCAACUUCAUCAUGGCGGCUGCAGUUGGCCCGCAAAAACAGGUACGUCUGAGCAUGACUACACUAAAGGAACAUGAAGAAACUGAAACCAACUUUCGCCCUCCUCAAAACAGGCGCCAGAGUAUCGCUUCUAGCAAACUCAGUGAUCCUGGCCCUGGCCCUGGCCAAGGCCAAGGUCAAGGCCUUAACCCAAUACUUGUCAAUCGUCGUUUGAGUCGUCGAGGGUCUAUGAUGGGUUCACAGAUCAUGUCGCUAUUGGCUCAUAGACGAAUGUCCCGGAUUUGGACUCAACAGUCUGACGACGGUCCAUCGAAAUUGCCCAAACAUGUUGAACCAACAUACAAACUUGAACCAGACGACCAGAAACGUUUUGCUGUAGCCAAAGUUGAAGCCGCCAUUGAAAGCAUCUUUAAUGUGUACCUGGACGAUAAAGAAUAUGAUCCAACUACGUGUAAGGAUCUCUCAGUUGAUCUUGCUAACAUGAUCAAGAACAGGAUCAAAGAUUUUGAUUUCAAACGUUUUAGACUUGUCAGUCACGUUAUCAUUGGACAGUGCCAAGAUCAGGGAAUCGAGGCUACCAGUAGGUGCGUCUGGAAUACGAACACGGAUAGAUUCGCCUCUGUGAAGUAUAAGAACGCUACUCUGUUUGCUGUGGCAACAGUAUUUGGUGUAUAUUUAGAUUAACAAGGUUUGAGUCGAAAAAUAAAUGUAAAUAUAUACAAAAAGUGUUUUAUUUUAUUUUGUGGUAAACUAAAACAUAUUAGAGUACAAUAAAGACCCUCUGAGACCAUUCCUGGGCAGCUUGGAUGAGUUCGAU